ensembl:lncRNA
UUCGAACUCGAAAAGGGGGCUGGGUACGUUUUCUGAACCACUCCAAAACGAUGGAGUUGCAUAACUUCAGAAAACAACGGCAGUUUGUGGGCAAGGCAAGCCCACUCGAUGCUAAUCAACCAAGGGGCACACACACCCCUCUAUCGUCAACGCCCCCUCCACAAUCUCCCUCCCCGAUAGGUCCAGGCAGAGAUGGAAAAAAACAACAACAAGGGCUUUAAAAACAUCCACAUUGUUCCGUCCAUCAGUAACAUCUGGUUAUCAAACCGGGGUACUGUGGCUACAUUCUCCUGUUUUUCGGCACAUUGUUUAUUCUCCUCCAUCUCCGGGGAGGACAGAAAUCAAAGUUUACAGUUUUUUUCUUGCGUGAACUCAAAACGCGAACAUGCCCAGCAAGAGGAAGAAGAACAAGCGCCGCAUGAGAAGGGUGCAGGCCCAGAGGAGAGUCCUUGAGGAGCAGCAUUCUACUGGCGCAGGCAAAGGAACCCCAGGAGUGGCUGCCGUGGCACCCCCCCUUGAAAUAUUAAAUUGUCCCCCCCUUCUCUCACCCCCUCCAGUAGUAAAGGUCCCAGUCGUAAAGCCCCCUGAAAUAUCCAAUUGUCACCCCCUUAUUCCCCCCACUAUAGUAGUAAAGGUCCCAUUCGUACAGCCACCGGCCCCAGUCAAAGUACCAGAUCCUGAGGCUGUGGUGACGGUGGUAGAGCCUGAAGUGGUAGCAGCUGAGGUUGAAGUUGAGGCCCCAGUCGAAGCUCCAGUGGAGGUUGAAGUCGAGGCCCCAGAAGAAGUUCCAGAAGAAGUCCCAGUCGAGGCCCCAGAAGAAGUCCCAGUCGAGGCCCCAGUCGAGGCCCCAGAAGAAGUCCCAGUCGAGGCCCCAGAAGAAGUCCCAGUCGAGGCCCCAGAAAAAGUCCCAGUCGAGGCCCCAGAAGAAGUCCCAGUCGAGGCCCCAGAAGAAGUCCCAGCCGAGACCCCAGAAGAAGUCCCAGUCGAGGCCCCAGAAGAAGUCCCAGUCGAGGCCCCAGAAGAAGUCCCAGUCGAGGCCCCAGAAGAAGUCCCAGUCGAGGCCCCAGAAGAAGUCCCAGUCGAGGCCCCAGAAGAAGUCCCAGUCGAGACCCCAGAAGAAGUCCCAGUCGAGGCUCCAGAAGAAGUCCCAGUUGAGGUCCCAGUCGUAGAAGCAGAAGCUCCUGUUGAGCCCCCUACAGAAGAAACUGCAGCAGGGCAGGAAGUUGAAGAAAGCAUCAUUCCAGAGACUGAGCCAGUAACUGAGGCCAUACCCAUUCCUGAGGCCCCUGUGUCAGCUCUUGCUGAAUUUGAGGUUCAGGUCGCAAACUCCGUAGCGAUUACCACAGAGAUCGCACAGACUCAUGAUGAGCCGGGGCUCGAGGCUGAAGUGGAGGCUGAAAUAGUUGACGAGGUCCAAGCGAAAGUAGAGGCAGUAGUUGAGGAAGAACCAGAGCCCGAUCCCAUGGUCAAGGCCGAAGCUGCCCCAGUUGUAGAAGCUGAACUUGAACUGUCGGGAAUCAAAGACGGAGACAGUCCUAUCGUCAAAGCUGAAGCCAUUCCUGAAGAUAUUGAUGUAGAAGAGCAUGAGACUGUUAUGGCAGAGGCACCUGAAGAGGUUCCAGUGCAGACAGAAAUUAUCCCAGAAAAGCUGUGGAAGCCCGUGGAAGCACCGAUUGAAGAAGCCCCCGUAGCCAAGAUCGCUCCAGCAGAGCUCCUCGUAGAGGCCUCAGUAGACCCUGUCAUCAACACAAUGGCUGACUUUGCCAUCACAGAAUCUGUUCCCGUUGUGGAAGCAGCCAUGGCUGAGCAGGUGCCCGCAGUUUCAACGGAUUCACUUGACGCCCUAUCGGAGUUGCUGAACGACAUCACUCUAGUCACUGAGCCCGCCCCUGUCACAGCUGAUAAAGUCAUUGACGAGCCAGAGUGUGAGGAGAAAGACGUGACAGAGAUGAGGGUGAGAGACAAUGCACUUCCACCCAAUUACCGGCCCUGCUCGGAGGACCUGCUGGUCAGAGUUGAAUCAUAAUAACCUAAACUUCUCAUCCACUCACUAAUUUUGAAUUCAACCAACUCUUUACUCUAUCACCUUGCUAUAUAAUAACCUUAACACAAUCAAACACUUGGGUGUAGGCUAUCCUCUCAUAACUUCUAAUUUUAAAUGCUCUCGCACAUUUUGAAAUGUGGCAUUCCAGGGGUUCUUCCUCUCUCAUGGGUUUCUCUCUGCCAUCUGUGGAUUGAUCCUCCCUCGCCUCUCUCCUUGUGGUCUUCCUUUUUACAUUCUGUUCAUUCCCUUGGUUGUGGGCUGCUCCAGCUUGUUUCAUUGCAUUGGGCAUGCCAAGUACUGUAGUUGGACUACUGGUUUAUUUUUUACUACUCUGGUAUUGAUUAAUUAGGAUCCCCAUUAGCGACAGCUAGUCUUACUGGGGUCCGACAACGAGAAAUACAUUUGACCAAAAAAAUACUUUACAAUUGUUACGCAUGCCUCUUGGGAGGGAACGCAACACCCUGCAACACUCAACUCCGUGGAGUGAAAGCGGUAUGGGAUUGCAGGUAAGGAUGACAAAGGCAGAGAAUUACACCAUUAACAGGGAAUUUAUUCCUUCACACGGUAAUUCUGGGUCAAAGGGUCUGGACUGAACCAAAGCAAAGAAAGUAAAAGUUAGAGCCCACUCUCCUACCCACAAUUUAUCUAUUUUUAACACCACCUGGCGUGCUAACCAAAAUACAGGGGGUAGUCCGCUCAGGUCUUACCUAGUGUGCAUAGACAGUACAUACUACGAGUAUAUGUAUGCCCGCAGGCCUCUUGCCUAAGCACUCCCAAGGUGCCUUCCCCUACCCCCCUGGGAACAAAUUAAACAGAUUAAUACAAAGAAUUUCAAUAAUCAAAACAGUCCUUUUGACAUAAACAUACCUCUGCAGAACCGGCUACAAAAUACUUUUCAAAAAGUGUCUGAGCAACAACCAACACAGAAUAUCAAAGACGCUCUCCCUGAGCAACAAACAAUACUGAGGCAUACCCUUUUAAGCUGCAGAAGGAGUCUAAUUGAAGACAGCUGUAUCCUUUGACGAGAAGGCGGGGUCAGAGCUCCAAUUAUCGAUGGGACCGACCAAUCAGCUGCUUAGGACUUCAGGAAGCUAUUUCCUGAAAUACACACAUAGACACAUACAAACCCACAACAACACAGAAACUGGGGAACGUAACACAAUUUACAUACAUUUAAAAACAUGUAAUGUGUGUGCAUCUAUCAGUUACACGUCAGUACAUAUACACAAAGCCAGAGUUCACAUGGGGUAAGAAGCAUUGUUGGGAAAGAGCUUGCAAGAAAGGCACUUCACUGUACUUGUGCACGUGACAACUUGAAACUUAGUGGUGCGCUCAACAACAUUGACUGUCUGCGUUUCCUUUCACAGGCUAAAGAGGAAAUUGGAGCCCAGAUGGAAAUCGAGGCUAAAAAGGAUGCCAUAGAUGAGAAGACGGUCCUUGACGUCAUCUCUGGAGAUUUAUCCACCCCCCACCCUGUUAUCUCAGAACUGCAGUGUCACACGCAGCUCGCCGCCCCCAAGGAAAUCCCAACAGAGGCAGUGCUGAAUGGACAGAUGGCAGCUGAGGUGGCCAUUGAGGGAUAGAUCUCUAUGGGUGACGACUUGUUCAAUCUCCCUAAACACUGAGUUUGAAUGCAUAAGGUCUGGAUUGGCAUUAACAUCCUGUUAUUGUUCCUGUCUCCCCACAGAUGUCCUCAGUCAGUAUGAAAGACUAAAGAGAGCCUGACAGUGAGCCGACCAGCGAACUUUACUUUUCAUUUUUUAGGGCUUAAAGGGACCGCUGGGAAAUUUGACAGACAUCCAACACUCAGUGCCUUUCUUGCUUGGGUUCUUACAAACAAAAUAUUAAACAAGUUUAAAAUGCGACAUGAAGGUGGGGGAAUAACACUUUUUUGUUGUUGAUCAGAAUGUGACAAUUUGGAAUAAACAAAUCAUGGCUUUCAUAGAUUUCUGUAUCCCAUUGCAUAUAUUGUGGAUUUGCCUCAAUUGUAAAUGGCAUGCAUUGUGUAUGAAUACUGUAGAAUUAAUGAAUGUGGCAAUGGCUUGUCUUCACAUGUUUGUAUGGAUGAGAGGGAUUAAUUCCUUGUACACGUUUCCUGUUUUAACCUGGUUUGAUUCCUUUUUGUGAAGGGACAGUAUGGCAGUUUGUACAGUACCAUAGCUACCCCCUCUUCUCCCUAUCCCCAUUGUGGUACUUUUGUUUUUUCAGGGACUGUAUGAUGACAGCUCCACCCUCUUUACUGUGUAGUGUCAGUGUGUCUACAGUCCCAAGUCUGUCCUGGGCAAUGUGAAAUGGUGUGUAGUUUUAGGUCCUCUGACCAGAUGCUCUUAACAUUUAAUUACCUAUGCUGCCAACUUAAAAUAGAGUAUGGGGGCCUGUAGAUCCUGUUUUUAGUUUUUCUUUUCUUUUUCUGUUUUGUAUAGACCAUAUGAUGUGGUACAACCGCUGUUUGUGUUCAGUUACGUGCUCUGGAAUUGACCAUGGAGUUGUCAUGUAAUUGAGGAGCUGGGUUGGAUUUCAUUCACCUUUUUGAAUAAAGAUGUUACUCACCAAGUUCUUG